rnacentral:rRNA from 1 species
CCGCUAAGCCUAAAUAUUCCCUGGUGACCGAUAGCGGAUAGUACCGUGAGGGAAUGGUGAAAAGUACCGCGGGAGCGGAGUGAAAUAGUACCUGAAACCGUGUGCCUACAAGCCGUGGGAGCGUCGGGCGUGCCUUUUGGGGUGCGUCUCGUGACUGCGUGCCUUUUGAAGAAUGAGCCUGCGAGUUAGCGGUGUGUAGCGAGGUUAACCCGUGUGGGGAAGCCGUAGCGAAAGCGAGUCCGAAGAGGGCGUUUGAGUUGCA